rnacentral:tRNA from 1 species
UCCUGGGUGGUGCAAAUGGUGAACACAUUCAGCUGUUAACCGAAAGGCUGGAGGUUCAAGUCCACCCAAAGGUG